rnacentral:lncRNA from 1 species
CCUGCCUCAGCCUCCCGAGUAGCUGGGACUACAGGCGCCCGCGACUACGCCCGGCUAAUUUUUUGUAUUUUUAGUAGAGACGGGGUUUCACCGUGUUAGCCAGGAUGGUCUUCGUCUCCUGACCUCGUGAUCCGCCCGCCUCGGUCCCCUAAAGUGCUGGGAUUACAGGCAUACACUCUUAAGUAACCUGGUGGGGACCCAUCAAACUACAAAGGGUUAUAGCUACUCUUACAGAAGACAUAAGAAGAUAUAUACGCAGAGAAGACAUCAUAAGACCUGAAGAUGAAAAACUUCUGAUCACAGAAGAAAGAUAUACAACAGCCUUGAAGCAUUCUGAGAACCCAGUGAAGGCAAUAAUGUCUCUUCCCAGAGAAAUUCACAGGAGCAAGACACAGAAGACAUGGAGAUCCAUGUAGAAUCAUAAGAAGGUAAAGAAGAAGGAAAAAAUGUAGCCCCUAGAAGCUUGGAACUGCCCUCAGACUACAGCCAGGAAGCAGACAGGGACUUCAGUUCCACAGCCACAAGGAGCUGAAUUCUGCCAACCAGAAUGAGCAAGAACAUGGAUUCUCCCCUCAAGCCUCCAGAAAAGAAUGCAGCCUACAGUCAGCACUUUAAGUCCCAUGCAACCUAUAAUAGAUUUCUGACCUACAGAGCUUUAAUGUCAUAAAUUGGUGUUGUUUUAAGUCAUGAAGUUUGUGGUAGCUUCUUAUGACAGUAAUUGAAAACUAAUACCUGGUCUUUUUAGCAGAAUAACGAGCACCCUGUAAUGUGUCAUUCAUGCAUAUCUUUUUUUUUUUUUUUUUUUUGGUGGGGGCAGGAAGACAAAACUCUAGAGUUUAAUCUUCCAGCUGACUGACUUGGAAGUGUUCCUGUCAAUAUAAAAGAUCUUGUUGGGGG